UACGUAGGGGGCUAGCGUUGUCCGGAUUUAUUGGGCGUAAAGAGCGUGUAGGCGGCCAGGUAGGUCCGCUGUGAAAGUCCGAGGCUCAACCUCGGAAUGUCGGCGGAAACCCUCUGGCUAGAGUCCGGAAGAGGAGAGUGGAAUUCCCGGUGUAGCGGUGAAAUGCGCAGAUAUCGGGAAGAACACCCGUGGCGAAGGCGGCUCUCUGGGCCAUAACUGACGCUGAGGAGCGAAAGCGUGGGGAGCGAACAGG
rnacentral:rRNA from 1 species